rnacentral:rRNA from 1 species
GCUCCUACGGGAGGCAGCAGUGAGGAAUAUUGGUCAAUGGGCGGGAGCCUGAACCAGCCAAGUCGCGUGAGGGAUGACGGCCCUAUGGGUUGUAAACCUCUUUUGCCGGGGAGCAAAGUGCCGCACGUGUGCGGUUUGGAGAGUACCCGGAGAAAAAGCAUCGGCUAACUCCGUGCCAGCAGCCGCGGUAAUACGGAGGAUGCGAGCGUUAUCCGGAUUUACUGGGUGUAAAGGGCGCGUAGGCGGGAUAGCAAGUCAGUCGUGAAAUGCCGAGGCUUAACCUCGGAGCUGCGAUUGAAACUGUU